AGUCCUGUGGUCUAAAGGGUACGACACCGCCAUGCUUUUUCUGAAGCAGGGAGGCGGAGGAUACGAGUUCGAGUCUCGUCAGGGCUA